rnacentral:rRNA from 1 species
UCCAUUUUUUUAGCAGUUAUCGUGCUCGUCUGAUCGGCUAGCACGGUGUAGCUUGCACCUAGGUGGCGAGUGGCGAACGGGUGAGUAAUACAUCGGAACAUGUCCUGUAGUGGGGGAUAGCCCGGCGAAAGCCGGAUUAAUACCGCAUACGAUCUACGGAUGAAAGCGGGGGACCUUCGGGCCUCGCGCUAUAGGGUUGGCCGAUGGCUGAUUAGCUAGUUGGUGGGGUAAAGGCCUACCAAGGCGACGAUCAGUAGCUGGUCUGAGAGGACGACCAGCCACACUGGGACUGAGACACGGCCCAGACUCCUACGGGAGGCAGCAGUGGGGAAUUUUGGACAAUGGGCGAAAGCCUGAUCCAGCAAUGCCGCGUGUGUGAAGAAGGCCUUCGGGUUGUAAAGCACUUUUGUCCGGAAAGAAAUCCUUGGUCCUAAUAUGGCCGGGGGAUGACGGUACCGGAAGAAUAAGCACCGGCUAACUACGUGCCAGCAGCCGCGGUAAUACGUAGGGUGCAAGCGUUAAUCGGAAUUACUGGGCGUAAAGCGUGCGCAGGCGGUUUGCUAAGACCGAUGUGAAAUCCCCGGGCUCAACCUGGGAACUGCAUUGGUGACUGGCAGGCUAGAGUAUGGCAGAGGGGGGUAGAAUUCCACGUGUAGCAGUGAAAUGCGUAGAGAUGUGGAGGAAUACCGAUGGCGAAGGCAGCCCCCUGGGCCAAUACUGACGCUCAUGCACGAAAGCGUGGGGAGCAAACAGGAUUAGAUACCCUGGUAGUCCACGCCCUAAACGAUGUCAACUAGUUUGUUGGGGAUUCAUUUCCUUUAGUAACGUACUAACGCGUGAAGUUGACCGCCUGGGGAGUACGGUCGCAAGAUUAAAACUCCAAGGAAUUGACGGGGACCCCCACACGCGGUGGAUGAUGUGGAUAUUUCGAUGCACGCGAAAAACCUUACCUACCUUUGCGUGGUCUGGAAUCCUGCUGAGAAGGCGGGAUGUGCUCUAUAGAGUACCCGCGCCCCCGGUGCUGCAUGGUGUGUGUUCUGCUCGUGUUGUGAGAUGUUUGUGUUAAGUCACUCAACCAGCCUCAACCUCUUGUCCUUAGUGGCAUCGCAUAACCGCUUCUUAGGUGACUGCCAGUUACCAACGCCUGACGCAGCGGGUUGGAUGGCGUUGAGGCGCUCUCCAUGCUCCUCUAGUGGUGGUGGGUCUCUCACCA